CUGCACCAAGUCGGGUCCCCCGUCGAGACUGGGGAUCACCGCCAUCUGGUGCAGUUCCAGCCCGAGGGCUUCGGCUUCCUUGCGGAGCCGGUCCUGUAAUGCCUUGAUCUUGUCAAGCGGGUUGUCCACGUCUUGCCCUUCUCUCGUCGCCGUUCGCUAGCUCAUAUCCGCGUCCGGUAAGAACACGUCCAGAUGAGGUGCGUUCGAUAAUCUGCUUUUGGAUCAGGUCGAUUUCCAGCAUCUCGAUCGCUCCGAUGG
rnacentral:misc_RNA from 1 species